GUUCAAGUUUAUGUCUUCCAGGCUACAACAGUUUCAGAGAACAAUAAUUAGUCCAAUGUUCCAGCCUGUGCCACUGCAGAAAAGAUGGAGUCCCUAUAAGUCAUUCGAUCAGGACUGGCUCAAGCUGAACAGCUUCCGCAUCUGGCUGGGCCUGGUGUUCUCAGCCAGCACCCUCUCGUACUGCUCCUGGCUCAGCACCUGUCCAUGCAGUUUGUCCAAGACAACCUCCACCGAUGUCACUCGGGCUAUCAGCUGCUCUCGAUACUGGUCCACGAAGUGCAGCAACUGCGGGGCAUCCAGAGGUGAAGGUACGGCUGGCAACAAACAAAGAAGGGCUCCAACCACAGCCUCCACCUCCAGUCCCCACCUUCAGUGCUUUCCUCUCUCAUCUCUGCAUCCCUCGCUUCCUUCUGCCUCCAGAAAUGCA
rnacentral:lncRNA from 1 species